rnacentral:rRNA from 1 species
AACGAACGCUGGCGGCAUGCCUAACACAUGCAAGUCGAACGAAGCCUUCGGGCUUAGUGGCGCACGGGUGCGUAACGCGUGGGAAUCUGCCCUUGGGUUCGGAAUAACAGUUAGAAAUGACUGCUAAUACCGAAUGAUGUCUUCGGACCAAAGAUUUAUCGCCCAAGGAUGAGCCCGCGUCGGAUUAGCUAGUUGGUGAGGUAAAGGCUCACCAAGGCGACGAUCCGUAGCUGGUCUGAGAGGAUGAUCUGCCACACUGGGACUGAGACACGGCCCAGACUCCUACGGGAGGCAGCAGUGGGGAAUAUUGGACAAUGGGCGAAAGCCUGAUCCAGCAAUGCCGCGUGAGUGAUGAAGGCCUUAGGGUUGUAAAGCUCUUUUACCCGGGAUGAUAAUGACAGUACCGGGAGAAUAAGCCCCCGGCUAACUCCGUGCCAGCAGCCGCGGUAAU